UUCCGGUUGAUCCUGCCGGACCCGACUGCUAUCGGAUUGAGAUUUAGCCAUGCGAGUCGAACGUCCCCCUGUUGCGGGGGGCGUGGCGUACGGCUCAGUAACACGUAGUCAACCUGCCCUGGAGACAAGGACAACCCCGGGAAACUGGGAUUAAUCCUUGAUAGGUCAUCUCAUCUGGAAGGAGAGAUGGCUUAAAGGGGUACGCGGGCUUCUUCCGCGAAUCUGCUCCAGGAUGGGACUGCGUCCGAUCAGGCUGUUGGCGGGGUAAUGGCCCACCAAACCUGUAACCGGUACGGGCCUUGAGAGAGGUGGCCCGGAGAUGGACACUGAGAGAAGGGUCCAGGUCCUACGGGGCGCAGCAGGCGCGAAACCUUCGCAAUGCGCGAAAGCGUGACGAGGUUAAUCCGAGUGACUUCCGCUGAGGAGGUCUUUUGUCAGCUGUAAAUAGGCAGGCGAAUAAGGGGAGGGCAAGCCUGGUGUCAGCCGCCGCGGUAAUACCAGCUCCUCGAGUGGUCGGGGCGAUUAUUGGGCCUAAAGCAUCCGUAGCCGGUUCCGUAGGUCCUCUGUUAAAUCCAACCGCUUAACGGUUGACCUGCAGAGGAUACCGCGGGACUAGGAGGCGGGAGAGGCGGACGGUACUCCGCGUGUAGGGGUAAAAUCCUUUGAUCCGCGGAAGACCACCAGUGGCGAACGCGGUCCGCCAGAACGCGCUCGACGGUGAGGGAUGAAAGCUGGGGGAGCGAACCGGAUUAGAUACCCGGGUAGUCCCAGCCGUAAACGAUGCUAGCUAGAUGAUUC
rnacentral:rRNA from 1 species